rnacentral:rRNA from 1 species
UACGAAGGGGGCUAGCGUUGCUCGGAAUCACUGGGCGUAAAGCGCACGUAGGCGGGUUAUUAAGUCAGGGGUGAAAUCCCGGAGCUCAACUCCGGAACUGCCUUUGAUACUGGUAAUCUAGAGAUCGGAAGAGGUUAGUGGAAUUCCCAGUGUAGAGGUGAAAUUCGUAGAUAUUGGGAAGAACACCAGUGGCGAAGGCGGCUAACUGGUCCGAUACUGACGCUGAGGUGCGAAAGCGUGGGGAGCAAACAGG